AAGGAGACGUGCACCGCCAACACGUGGGGGGGGCUGUAAGCUGGAGGAGCGCACAGCAAAGGUGUUAGUGCAAAGUGCAUUGAACCGGGUCCUGGGUUCUUGUCUCUGCACUUCCAUGAAGCUUUUUGUCUUCGUCCUGCCCUCUGGCUGUGUUUUGUGCGGAGCUGGCGUGAUUUGUGAGGCGGGUGUCAGCCUCCCCCUGCCUUCUGACCUCCGGAAAUCCUGCUGCGCGGGAGAGAACCUGUCAUCUCGUGUUUGCAAGCACUUUUCAAUUUAAUACAUUUUAAUCAGAAAAUUAAUCAGGAAACACCAGUUCAGCAAGAUAAUUGAACAAUGAAGAGACACGAUAAUUACUGUUUAGUCUAAUUAACUUUGUUAAGUCUUUAUUGGGAACAGAGACUUCCUGAGUGAAACUUAUUAAAUGGUUCUCCCUGGAAAACAGAAUCCCCAUCAAGAAGCCUUUGUUACUCGUACUGCUUGGUAGGAGUUGGGUGCCUGUCUUUAAAUCACGAUUAGGGAAGCCUACAGGUGGGUUUUGGGCAAGCUGUAAAUUACUUUUCAGUCUGCUCUCCUCCAUCUUCAGUUCACUUACAUCUCUUAUUCCUUGCUGUCCUCCCCUCUUCUUCCCAGGUCGGCAGGAUUGGAUUGCUGCCUCCGUGGCACUGCAGCAAGGGCGGGCAUGGUCGGAGCCGUGGCGGUUCUGCAACAUCCCCGUGGCAGGACUGCCUUCUGUCUGGUGCCUGUACAGCAAACAGCACAGUGCGGGAUUCAAGAGCAGGAUGGAAAGGGCAGAGGAUUCCCUAGGCACCAACACAAGGCAAGUAAUUAGGCAUAUCAUAAAGCCUUAACUGGGGCUGCAGACUGUUCUUCGGGGUAGUUUUGACUCUGUAGACAGCAAUCAUUUGGCUGUGCUU
rnacentral:lncRNA from 1 species